rnacentral:rRNA from 1 species
CAGAGACUGCAAGCGUUAUUCGGAUUCACUGGGCGUAAAGGGUGCGCAGGCGGUUGGGUGUGUCAGAUGUGAAAUCCCGAGGCUUAACCUCGGAACUGCGUCUGAAACUACUCGACUAGAGUACUGGAGAGGGUAACGGAAUUCACGGUGUAGCAGUGAAAUGCGUAGAUAUCGUGAGGAACACCAGAGGCGAAGGCGGUUACCUGGACAGUUACUGACGCUUAGGCACGAAAGCAUGGGGAGCAAAAGGGAUUAGAUACCCCUGUAGUCCAUGCCCUAAACGGUGCACACUAGGUCUUAGCGGAUUCGACCCCACUAGGGCCCAAGCUAACGCGUUAAGUGUGCCGCCUGAGGACUACGGUCGCAAGACUA